GUCUAUGGCCAUACCACCCUGAACACGCCCAAUCUUGUCUGAUCUCAGAAGCCAAGCAGGGUUGGGCCUGGUUGGUGCUUGGACAGGAGAAGUGUCAAUGCAAUUGUCUGCAGGUUGCUUUGCACA
rnacentral:rRNA from 1 species